rnacentral:misc_RNA from 1 species
GAUGAAGAACGUAGCGAAAUGCGAUAAGUAGUGUGAAUUGCAGAAUUCAGUGAAUCAUCGAAUCUUUGAACGCACAUUGCGCCCCUUGGUAUUCCAUGGGGCAUGCCUGUUCGAGCGUCAUUUGUACCUUCAAGCUUUGCUUGGUGUUGGGUGUUUGUCUCGCCUUUGCGUGUAGACUCGCCUUAAAAUAAUUGGCAGCCGGCGUAUUGAUUUCGGAGCGCAGUACAUCUCGCGCUUUGCACUCAUAACGACAGCGUCCAAAAGUACAUUUUACACUCUUGGCCUCGGAUCAGGUAGGGAUACCCGCUGAACUUAAGCAUAUCAAUAAGCGGAGGA